GAUGAACGCUGGCGGCGUGCCUAAUACAUGCAAGUCGAGCGAACGGACGAGAAUCUUGCUUCUCUGAUGUUAGCGGCGGACGUGUGAUUAACACGUGGAUAACCUACCUAUAAUUCUUGGAUCACUUCGUGAAACCUGAGCUAAUACCGGAUAAUAUUUUUAACCUCAUUGUUCAUAAGUGAAAGACGUUCUUUCUGUCUCUUAUAGAUUUAUCCUCGCUGCAUUAUCUAGUUGGUAAUGUAAAGGCUUACCAAGGCAAAGAUGCAUAUCCGACAUGAGAGGGUGAUCGGACACACUGGAACUGAGACACGGACGAGAGUCCUACGGGAGGCAGCAGUAGGGAAUCUUGCGCAAUAGGAGAAAGACUGACGGAGCAACGACGCGUGAGUGAUGAAGGUCUUCGGAUCGUAAAACUAUGUUAUUAGGGAAGAAAAUAUGUGUAAGAAACUGUGCACAGCUUGAAGGUACCUAAAGAGAAAGCCACGGCUAAAUACGUG
rnacentral:rRNA from 1 species